GUUUGGUUGUCAAAUGAUGAGGUGGUAUUAUUUAAUAGGUGUAUAAUUGUUUGGUUGUCAAAUGUUAAGGUGGUAUUAUUAGAUAAGUGUAUAAUUGUUUGGUUGUCAAAUGUUAAGGUGGUAUUAGAUAAGUGUAUAAUUGUUUGGUUGUCAAAUGUUAAGGUGGUAUUAUUAAAUAUGUGUAUAAUUAUUUGGUUGUCAAAUGUUAAGGUGGUAUUAUUAAAUAGGUGUAUAAGUAUUUGGUUGUCAAAUGUUAAGGUGGUAUUAUUAAAUAAGUAUAGUUGUUUGGUUGUCAAAUGUAUAAUUUGUUGUCAAAUAUUAUUUUGGUAUUAUAAAAUAGGUGUAUAAUUAUUUGGUUGUAUUAUUAAAUAGGUGUAUAAGUGUUUGGUUGUCAAAUGUUAAGGUGGUAUUAUUAAAUAUGUGUAUAAGUGUUUGGUUGUCAAAUGUUAAGGUGGUAUUAUUAAAUAGGUGUAUAGUUGUUUGUUUGUCAAAUGUUAAGGUGGUAUUAUUAAAUAGGUCUAUAAGUGUUUGGUUGUCAAAUGAUGAGGUGGUAUUAUUUAAUAGGUGUAUAAUUGUUUGGUUGUCAAAUGUUAAGGUGGUAUUAUUAGAUAAGUGUAUAAUUGUUUGGUUGUCAAAUGUUAAGGUGGUAUUAGAUAAGUGUAUAAUUGUUUGGUUGUCAAAUGUUAAGGUGGUAUUAUUAAAUAUGUGUAUAAUUAUUUGGUUGUCAAAUGUUAAGGUGGUAUUAUUAAAUAGGUGUAUAAGUAUUUGGUUGUCAAAUGUUAAGGUGGUAUUAUUAAAUAAGUAUAGUUGUUUGGUUGUCAAAUGUAUAAUUUGUUGUCAAAUAUUAUUUUGGUAUUAUAAAAUAGGUGUAUAAUUAUUUGGUUGUAUUAUUAAAUAGGUGUAUAAGUGUUUGGUUGUCAAAUGUUAAGGUGGUAUUAUUAAAUAUGUGUAUAAGUGUUUGGUUGUCAAAUGUUAAGGUGGUAUUAUUAAAUAGGUGUAUAGUUGUUUGUUUGUCAAAUGUUAAGGUGGUAUUAUUAAAUAGGUCUAUAAGUGUUUGGUUGUCAAAUGAUGAGGUGGUAUUAUUUAAUAGGUGUAUAAUUGUUUGGUUGUCAAAUGUUAAGGUGGUAUUAUUAGAUAAGUGUAUAAUUGUUUGGUUGUCAAAUGUUA